UACGAAGGGGGGCUAGCGUUGCUCGGAAUCACUGGGCGUAAAGGGUGCGUAGGCGGGUCUUUUAAGUCAGAGGUGAAAUCCUGGAGCUCAACUCCAGAACUGCCUUUGAUACUGAGGAUCUUGAGUUCGGGAGAGGUGAGUGGAACUGCGAGUGUAGAGGUGAAAUUCGUAGAUAUUCGCAAGAACACCAGUGGCGAAGGCGGCUCACUGGCCCGAUACUGACGCUGAGGCACGAAAGCGUGGGGGAGCAAACAGG
rnacentral:rRNA from 1 species